GGCUUAGAGUUUGAUCAUGGCUCAGGAUGAACGCUGGCGGCGUGCUUAACACAUGCAAGUCGAACGGAGUAGGUAGCAAUACUUACUCAGUGGCGGACGGGUGAGUAACGCGUGAACAAUCUGCCUAUGUCAGGGGAAUAACACUAAGAAAUUGGUGCUAAUACCGCAUAAGACCACGGAGGGGCAUCCCUCAGGGGUAAAAGAAAUAUCGGACAUAGAUGAGUUCGCGUCCCAUUAGGUAGUUGGUGAGGUAACGGCCCACCAAGCCGACGAUGGGUAGCCGACCUGAGAGGGUGAUCGGCCACAUUGGAACUGAGAGACGGUCCAGACUCCUACGGGAGGCAGCAGUGGGGAAUAUUGGGCAAUGGAGGGAACUCUGACCCAGCAACGCCGCGUGAGUGAAGAAGGUUUUCGGAUUGUAAAACUCUUUAAGCGGGGACGAAGAAAGUGACUGUACCCGCAGAAUAAGCAUCGGCUAACUACGUGCCAGCAGCCGCGGUAAUACGUAGGAUGCAAGCGUUAUCCGGAAUGACUGGGCGUAAAGGGUGCGUAGGUGGUUUGCCAAGUUGGCAGCGUAAUUCCGUGGCUUAACCGCGGAACUACUGCCAAAACUGGUAGGCUUGAGUGCGGCAGGGGUAUGUG
rnacentral:rRNA from 1 species